CGAGAGGCGGUCCGGCCGGCAGCUGUUCGCCAGUGAGACAGGGUGCGGGUUGACGGGGUUCCCGCCUUCGACGAACUGCAGGGUCGUCACUAACAAGUCGCUGCCCUACCCCGCCUGCUGCCCCAGACUCGUGUGCAACCGAGGUUAGGGUCCCUCGCAGCCCAUAGCCCUCUAAAUGACCUGUUGGGGUCAUAAGAAACCCAGUAAACUCUCGUCAUAACCCCUAAACCCUCGUCAACCCUUACUAUCCCUCCACGACUGUGAGCCGACCCUACAAAACCCCCAAGAAAGCCAUCCAUUGCCUCCACGCGUCAAUUAAUUAAAUACAUUUGAUGUCAACCAAUAAAUAGUAUUUAGAAUCUUUAUUUAAUGAUAAAGUUCAAUAAAGUGCUACUAGUUA